AUCCUGUUGUCAUUGGAGAAGAUACUUUGCAUGAUAUCUAUUUUUAAAAAUACAUUGAUACUUAACCUGUGGCCUAACAUAUGGUCUAUCCUGGAGAAUGAUCCACAUGCAAUUGAAUGUACUUUCUGUUGUUGUUGAGUGGAAUGUUCUACAUAUGUCUGUUAGAUUUCAUUGAUUUAUCCCUUUAUUGCUUUUUUCCAUACUUUCUAAACUGUAUAUUAUAGUAUUCAAGUCCUUUUGUAGUCAGCUUCAUAACAAGGUUUUCUGAGACUCAUAUCUCACUAAACCCAAGCUCAUUUUAUGUGAUAGUCACAUGGAAUCAGUUGCCGGCCUGCACGCAACAUGCCUUUUCAUCCGUUAUUGUCUCUACCCACAGUAUCCUUACUUCAUUCUCUACUCAGAACUUCCAAUGCUUCUUUCAAGACUCAGAACAAAAGAGGGAGAAUGUGUAGACCUCUACAGGCUUCUUUGGAUUCCCUUCCUCAGCUCCUUUCGCACUCUGUGUCACCUACCUUAUGUGUGUAUCACACUGGAUUGUAAAUGUUUGAAAUGUCCAUACCUUUUAGACCUAAAAAAAUUCUCAGUGCCAAUACUAAAUUGGCUACAUAAUUAGAAAAGAUUCAUUUUCUGAACUGAAUUACAGAAUUUGGCAGCCAUUUCAUGGUUAGCUCCCUAAAUGGCCACCCUCAAUUGGUGAAAACUUCCAAGGUAGAGACAGUACUCAAUCAAUAGAAUUCUCAUUGUUUCUUCUCUGUCCACAGCUCCCCACAGCCCUUAUAACACAAGGCAGACACUAAAUCACUGCAUAAAAGUGGAAAGAAUCAAAGGCUGAAUCUCCAUCCUGUUAUCUUCUCUACUCAAAGCUUCUGUGGACAUGCACGUGUGUCUUCUGGUUUUCCUGCCCCCUUGAUGAAGGACAAAUGGUGUUUCCAUUGCUCAUUGUGUUCAAGGAAGGAGGGCUUAGUUCUGCGAGUUUCUGGGGUUUAAUUUGAUGAAUUCAUCUGCUCAUUGCUUACUGAUUAGAAAUUUCUGUCACAUUGUAGGAUAGCAGAGAGUUCAAGAUUAUUGGGACUAUGAGCAUAUCAUUUUUGUUCCAUUUAAAUUGCUAUGAAAUGGAACAUUAAGCUUGGCAUAGAUCACGUUUCAAUAUCAUUCUUAGCUGUCUGAAACUUGCAUAAUUAACCAUCGUAAAAUUUGGUCAGCUAUAUAAUCAGUCAGCUGCAAAAGGACACCACGAGCAAGGGAGCAUCAUUGGAGCCAUGGCAUAUAUUGUAUGCUGUGGACAAAUACUACUUAACAUAAGAAAGCACACAUAUGUGCAGGACAAUCUUACUUCAUUGUCUCACAGGACAAACCCAACUGCUCUUCAAAACGGGUCAAGGAAAGCAAGAUGGAGGAGUGCCACAAGAUUAUACUUAUGGGAAGAGACUGGGCAUGUUCAGGGUGGUAUGGGUAUGGACAAGACUAUAUUUUUCAUGAGUUAGUGUUGAUGAUGCAUGUGCUGCCAAUCUUUCUCUCCCUCCUUGGGGCUCAGAUUCCAAAAGGUAUACAUGACCGAUUUUGAUAUUCAUGCUAGCUACUUUCUGGUAAAAUAUGGUGAGAAGCAGGGAGCCAGCUGGAAGUUUUCAUUGAUUUGGAAUUAUCUGUAGUAUCAAAAAGACAGAAUCCAGAUGUGCCUGUCAUUGUUUAAUUGGUCUUUCCUCUUUUGUUCUCCUUAUACCAUCCCCUGCCAUGAGUCUUAUCUCUAUUUCUGUUACAUGAGGGAGCAUCCUAGCUUCCAUGAUGUCCUUUCCUUUCCCUCCUUUCAGUAGGUUUGCAGCUUAGUUAGGGUCAAUCCCUGCUUCUGAUUUUCAUGUGACAUGGAAACUCUGAAUAAGAAGCCCUAGUAAAACUUGGCUCUUGUGAUAACUCACAACAUUACAUGUGUGUUAUGUCCUGCGGCCUGGAUACUUCUUGCUAUCUACUCUACAUAAAUGUGAAGCUUAGCAAGUAAAGCAACAGCAGCUUGUUAUUUCUCAGGAUUUUGUGGGUUUGCUGAGCUGAGCUGAGCAGAUCUUCUGCUCCACUUGGUGUCAGCUGGGAUUGCUCUUGCGUCCACCUUCAGCUGAAGGCCUGGUUGGGUCUGGCACUUUCAGAACAGCCUCUCUCACAUGCCUAGCCAUUGGUGUUGUGUAAGAGCUCACUCUUAACAGUUUCUACUUGCUUCCUUAGACAGUAGUGACAGGGGCCCAAGAGAGUAAAAGCAAAUGCUUUCAGUCCUGUUAAGGGCUAGACCUAAAACCUGCACCUGUCCAACAACUCACAAGUUCAACCCCUAUGUAAACGAAUGGAAAAUAAACAUAAUUCCUUGACAAAGGAGGAGCAUUCACACACAGAGGAGGGAGCAGUUGUUGGAGCCCAUCUUCAAAGACCACUGACCACACUCCGGUUCAGUUCAGACUUCUCACAAACACCCUUACAGGGUCCUGUGGACCACUAAUCCCAGGAUGCGAAUUAGAAAGGGAAGAGUGUUAGGGCUGGCUGUGUACGAAGCCUUCACAUGCUUCACACCCAAAAACUCAGGAUGAGGUUGAGCCCCUCUUCCUUGAGCUGCCACCCUGCCAGAUGUUGCUUCCAUUGCAACAUGAACAACACUAAUUGCAAAGAGUUUACUGGGAUAUUUUUUGAAAGAGGACCUAGUUUUCACUUUGAUUAAACUUCUUAUCCCAAACCACAGGUUUUCCCUUUAUCAAGAAGACCUGAAGCAAAGAGAGGGUGGUGAUCUGUCCAGGUAAGGAAGCUGCUCUUACCUUACAACUUUCGUGGUAUUGCUUGGCCCUUCUAGUCAUCAGAAACGCUCUUUGCUUAGGUUUCACCUUAACACCGUAGUCAAUCAACUGGAUGUUUUUGUUCAAAGUCUUCAUCCAGCUAACUUUGACCUCAAUAGAGAAACAUGGGAGAUGACUGGCUGAAUAGUUUAUUUUUCCCACAAAUGCUUUAGCAUUAUAUAGACAUGGAUGUAGUGUGUCCUCAGGCAUCAUAAGGAACUGACAAUUUUUGGUUUUGAAAAAUGAACUAAACUUGUCCCGAUAAUUUUGCCUGGCACUGCAACUCAAUGAAUAAUUCAGCUAAUUUACACCACAGUCAUUUGUACAUUAUGAGUGUACACGCUUUGAAAGUAUUUCUGUACCUUUGUCAUAUUGCCUAUUAAAUGUGUUCUGAAAAUAGA